rnacentral:rRNA from 1 species
GACAGAGGUGCCGAGCGUUAGGCGGAAUCACUGGGCUUAAAGCGUGUGUAGGCGGAAGCGUAAGUGCCUUGUGAAAUCCCUCGGCUCAACCGGGGAACUGCGUCUGAGACUGGAAGGCUUGAAUUCGGGAGAGGGAUGUGGAAUUCCAGGUGUAGCGGUGAAAUGCGUAGAUAUCUGGAGGAACACCGGUGGCGAAGGCGGCAUCCUGGACCGAGAUUGACGCUGAUGCGCGAAAGCCAGGGGAGCAAACAGG